rnacentral:misc_RNA from 1 species
GAUGAAGAACGCAGCGAAGUGCGAUAAGUAAUGUGAAUUGCAGAAUUCAGUGAAUCAUCGAAUCUUUGAACGCACCUUGCGCUCCUUGGUAUUCCGAGGAGCAUGCCUGUUUGAGUGUCAUUAAUAUAUCAACCUUCUCUUUUUUGAGUUGUUUGGAUGUGGGGGUUUGCUGGCCUCUUAAAUGAUUCAGCUCCCCUGAAAUGCAUUAGCAGAACAACCUGUUCAUUAGCGUGAUAAUUAUCUAUGCUAUUGAAUGUGAGGGCAGUUCAGCUUUCUAACCGUCCUUGGACAAUUCAUCAUUAAUGUGACCUCAAAUCAGGUAGGACUACCCGCUGAACUUAAGCAUAUCAAUAAGCGGAGGA